AACGAACGCUGGCGGCAUGCCUAACACAUGCAAGUCGAACGAGACCUUCGGGUCUAGUGGCGCACGGGUGCGUAACGCGUGGGAAUCUGCCCUUGGGUUCGGAAUAACAGUUGGAAACGACUGCUAAUACCGGAUGAUGACGUAAGUCCAAAGAUUUAUCGCCCAAGGAUGAGCCCGCGUAGGAUUAGCUAGUUGGUGAGGUAAAGGCUCACCAAGGCGUCGAUCCUUAGCUGGUCUGAGAGGAUGAUCAGCCACACUGGGACUGAGACACGGCCCAGACUCCUACGGGAGGCAGCAGUGGGGAAUAUUGGACAAUGGGCGAAAGCCUGAUCCAGCAAUGCCGCGUGAGUGAUGAAGGCCUUAGGGUUGUAAAGCUCUUUUACCCGGGAUGAUAAUGACAGUACCGGGAGAAUAAGCUCCGGCUAACUCCGUG
rnacentral:rRNA from 1 species